UACGUAGGGGGCAAGCGUUGUCCGGAAUCAUUGGGCGUAAAGAGCGUGUAGGCGGCCAGGUAGGUCGGUUGUGAAAACUAGAGGCUUAACCUCUAGACGUCGACCGAAACCAUCUGGCUAGAGUCCGGAAGAGGAGAGUGGAAUUCCUGGUGUAGCGGUGAAAUGCGCAGAUAUCAGGAAGAACACCCGUGGCGAAAGCGGCUCUCUAGGACGGUACUGACGCUGAGACGCGAAAGCGUGGGGAGCGAACAGG
rnacentral:rRNA from 1 species